UACGGAGGAUGCGAGCGUUAUCCGGAUUUAUUGGGUUUAAAGGGCGCGUAGGCGGAUUAAUAAGUCAGUGGUGAAAACCUUCAGCUUAACUGGAGACUUGCCAUUGAUACUGUUAGUCUUGAGUACGGUCAAGGUAGGCGGAAUGUGUAAUGUAGCGGUGAAAUGCUUAGAUAUUACACAGAACACCGAUUGCGAAGGCAGCUUACUGGGCCAUUACUGACGCUGAUGCACGAAAGCGUGGGGAGCGAACAGGAUUAGAUACCCUGGUAGUCCACGCCGUAAACGAUGAUCACUCGCUGUUAGCGAUACACAGUUAGCGGCUAAGCAAAAGCAUUAAGUGAUCCACCUGGGGAGUACGGCCGCAAGGCUGAAACUCAAAGGAAUUGACGGGGGCCCGCACAAGCGGAGGAACAUGUGGUUUAAUUCGAUGAUACGCGAGGAACCUUACCUGGGCUUAAAUGUAGAGUGCAUGAAGUAGAAAUAUUUCUUUCCUUCGGGACUCUUUGCAAGGUGCUGCAUGGUUGUCGUCAGCUCGUGCCGUGAGGUGUCGGGUUAAGUCCCAUAACGAGCGCAACCCUUAUCGUUAGUUGCCAGCGGGUAAUGCCGGGAACUCUAACGAAACUGCCGGUGUAAACCGUGAGGAAGGUGGGGAUGACGUCAAAUCAGCACGGCCCUUAUGUCCAGGGCUACACACGUGUUACAAUGGCCGGUACAGAGGGCAGCUACCUGGAGACAGGAUGCGAAUCUCCAAAGCCGGUCUCAGUUCGGAUCGGAGUCUGCAACUCGACUCCGUGAAGCUGGAUUCGCUAGUAAUCGCGCAUCAGCCAUGGCGCGGUGAAUACGUUCCCGGGCCUUGUACACACCGCCCGUCAAGCCAUGGAAGUUGGGGGUACCUGAAGUCCGUAACCGUAAGGAGCGGCCUAGGGUAAAACUAGUGACUGGGGCU
rnacentral:rRNA from 1 species